UACAGAGGUCUCGAGCGUUGUUCGGAUUCAUUGGGCGUAAAGGGUGCGUAGGUGGCGCCAUAAGUCAGGUGUGAAAUCUCGGGGCUCAACCCCGAAACUGCACUUGAUACUGUGGUGCUCGAGUACUGGAGAGGAGAUUGGAAUUUACGGUGUAGCAGUGAAAUGCGUAGAUAUCGUAAGGAAGACCAGUGGCGAAGGCGAAUCUCUGGACAGUUACUGACACUGAGGCACGAAGGCCAGGGGAGCAAACGGG
rnacentral:rRNA from 1 species